UGGAUCCAGACUUUGAUUAUGGCUCAGGAUGAACGCUAGCUACAGGCUUAACACUUGCAAGUCGAGGGGCAGCAUGUCGGUAGCUUGCUACCGAUGAUGGCGACCGGCGCACGGGUGAGUAACGCGUAUCCAACCUGCCAUUGUCCCGCGCAUAACCCGGUGAAAACCGGACUAAUUCGCGAUGUGUCCCGUUGAGGCAUCGAUUCGGGAUGAAAGACUUGUCGGACAGUGAUGGGGAUGCGUCUGAUUAGCUUGCCGGCGGGGUAACGGCCCACCGGGGUGACGAUCAGUAGGGGUUCUGAGAGGAAGGUCCCCCACAUUGGAACUGAGACACGGUCCAAACUCCUACGGGAGGCAGCAGUGAGGAAUAUUGGUCAAUGGGCGAGAGCCUGAACCAGCCAAGUAGCGUGCAGGAUGACGGCCCUACGGGUUGUAAACUGCUUUUAUGCGGGGAUAAAGUCGAUCACGUGUGAUUGUUUGCAGGUACCGCAUGAAUAAGGACCGGCUAAUUCCGUGCCAGCAGCCGCGGUAAUACGGAAGGUCCGGGCGUUAUCCGGAUUUAUUGGGUUUAAAGGGAGCGUAGGCCGCCGAUUAAGCGUGUUGUGAAAUGCCGUGGCUCAACCAUGGCACUGCAGCGCGAACUGGUUGGCUUGAGUGCGCGGAAGGCAGGCGGAAUUCGUGGUGUAGCGGUGAAAUGCUUAGAUAUCACGAAGAACCCCGAUUGCGAAGGCAGCCUGCCGCAGCGCUACUGACGCUGAAGCUCGAAGGUGCGGGUAUCGAGCAGGAUUAGAUACCCUGGUAGUCCGCACGGUAAACGAUGGAUGCCCGCUGUGUGCCAUUAUGGUACGCGGCCAAGCGAAAGCGUUAAGCAUCCCACCUGGGGAGUACGCCGGCAACGGUGCAACUCAAAUGAAUUGACGGA
rnacentral:rRNA from 1 species